UGGCACAGGAAAAUACUKAAGCAAACASCAAAUGAGGCUUGUACUGAACGCAYUGCUGGAGUUGACCCACCAAGCUGGGUCCUAUUCCUUCAGUGGAAAAAUUCCCUUGAGCCACAACACAAGGAUAUUUCCCAACUCUUAGCUAAGGCAAUAAAUCUUGGACCAUGAUGGCAAACCUAAAGAGGUCACUGAGUAAUGCAAACAGAAAUCACCUUUAGGAGCCAUCAGUGUGAAAAGAUCUCACCAGAGGAAGCUGCAGCCUUUUUCUGUGGCUCAUUUUUYGCUCUGAUGUCAAAGCAAACCUGCUGAUCUCCUGGGCUCUGAGGAUUGCUGAGCAACGUGCCCUCCUCACUGUCCAAGUUCCCCACAGACCAGUCAUCACCUCGCCUACUCCGAAACAUCUGCUUCUCCCACCUCUCUGAUAGUGAUACAAAUGACAAUUUUUCAAUCUUCCAGCAAUUAUCUCAGCCCCUUUUCUCAUGUUACCGUUUCAGUGCAGCAGGAGCUCCCUGGGAACAGCCACCGUGCCACUAAAUCUGUCCUCAUGACACUUUACUAUCUGCAGAUGGUGUGAGAUUGACUUUGCUUUCCAAAGUGAGAAUUUAAUCCUCAGUAAAUUGUUUUGAUUGCAUCUGUGAAAUACAUCCAUUAUCCUGUUAUGAAGGAUAGAGUGUAGAUUUAUAUAUUGCCUGACUUUAUGGCCUAAAUUCACARCUGGACGUUAACAAAAUUACUCCUUCAAAGUGCAUUGAUACCAAGGGAAAGAUUCCCAUGAGCAUCAAAUGAGGUGAAUAGAUUCUUGAUAAGAGUCAUGAUUUAAAUUAGCACGAAUUUUUAUGUAUAUGAAUUUAGGUUGACUGAGUUUGUGCAUUACACUUUUGCCACUGCAAAUCCAAGGAACAGCUCUUUUUUUCACAAAGUGGUCAUUGUAUCUUCAAAAUCUUGUGGACUGCAAGACUGGAACCUGCAAUCACAUGUUUAGAGUCUACUAAGUCAGAUAGAAAGUUUUGCAGCCUCUGUUUGCAUUGCAUUUUGAAAAGGGCAUGAUUAAUUCAGGCCAGGACUACAAUGAAUGUUGGUAACAUCGUAGCUGGAAAUACAUGAAUUAUUCCAAACCUCCUGAACUCUAUUAUUCAGAAUAUCUCCAACUAGUGAAUGUAAACAAGCUAACAGGCUGCUUUCCCCUCUCUCUCACCAUGAGUGAAAUGCCAGCAUAAUGCAGGAAUACCAGUGUAGCAGCAGAUACCAACAGGCCCAGCUGCAGCUCUGUAUUUAGAUUUGCCAGGUAGCAAGGUGGCAGAUUUAAUUCUAUCACCAACACUGAGGUUUCUAGAAUAAAUGCAAGGAAAUUCAACAAYAGAUACAUGAGACCAAGCUACUGUUAAAAUGCUAUUUCUGUGUUGUUUUCCAAUUCAGAAAGUUAGGAGUCCUUUAAAGGGAUUUAAGUCACUAUGCAUGAAAUGGGGAGAGCAAAGGAAGCCUCUGUCAUAACAUGCAGCUGAUGUAGGUCAUUAGCACCUAUGGACAUGUAAAUGUCAACAGGUUAUCAAAUUACAGAUCUAAAUUCUGCCUGAGGGUAGUGUUUUAGCAACAGAAUUAUACUAGUCCAAAGUAAAUCUAUCCAUAUAUAAAUUUUUUUUGACACUGUGAAUGCUUUUCUAAAACAAACACUUUACAAAGCCWAUUUUGCUUUGUACACAGAAGUUUUCCAUUGUAGGACAAAGACAGCACAGAGCCUGAGAACCCCCUUUGAGCAUUGCUGUCCUUACCUGGGAUUUGCAGAGCUGUCUGUAAUAAUACUUUACAAAUAAGUUCUAUGACAUGAGCUUUCAGAAUUCACAUAGGGGAUGUUCACCCAGUAACUCCAAAACACUUUGUCRUCAUGACUUGGAGUAUUUUACAAGGCAGAAACUAAUGGAAAGAAAACUCAAGACCUGUAUCUAUAGAUGUAGCGAGUUGAUAAGUGAAUUUAGAGAAAGCCCCAUCUCCCAAUUUAGGGCUGUUUCACAAGCUCCCUGUGAAGAGAGGAAAAAUAAAUUUUUGUGUUUCUGCACUGAGUAAACUUUUUUUCUUUGAAUAGCUUGAAAGUCCCCUUAGGGAAAAGCUGGCAAAAAUACAAACACUGAUGUGGUCACUACCUAUUGCACUCAAAUAAAUGCUAUUCCUGUUCAGUAAAUUAGCACAUUUAUGAGUUAUAUACUUUGUCAGCACUUUUUCUUAGCGUGCGUAGACCAGAUUUCCACUACAUCAUUCAGAGGUUAGCAGGGAACAAAAUUAAACCCUCAGUGUUUUCACCACCACACAACCUGCAAAGUCAUUUUUCAAUGCACUUAACAGGUUAUCUUGGAAAAGUCUAAUAAAUGGUGAGCAUUGCCUCUGACUUUUUCUUAGCAGAACUCAUUGUUCAUCUAAUUUUUGCAACAGAUUUCCUACCUCAUUUAAAACUUCAGCUAGAAGUGCUUUCCUGUUACAUAUUGCAAACAGACAUAUACAGUGACUCAGAAGCUUGGAUCGAGCUGUGYAGUCAAUAUAGUUUUUGGCAAAAGCCUGGGAAGCCUUUUUCUGGCUGAAAGUGAAGAAUGAUAAAAAUAGAUCCUGAUUUUACAGUCACAGUGACAAACUSGCUUCCAAAAGCUUCACAACAGCACAAAGGGAACAAACUGGCAAAAGGGAAGUGAGCUGGAAAGAUAUAUAUUUUUCCCCAACAAGACUCAAAUUCACCAUCUUUUGUGGUUUACAAUGAUCUUAUAUCAUYGCACAUGGCAUGUGCAGCACAAUGACAACUCAGAAGUCAGCUUAGCUUGCAAGCAGCCAUUCUCUUCCAAAGCUUUUCUGUGAGCUCAACACAUUUAAUUCACAAUCACUUACAGAGCUUAUACAACCCUAUAAAAUAACCAAGUCUCCUGAAUCAUCUCUUACCUACAAGAUAUAAUUUUAUUCUAUUUUGUAUGAUUUCAUUAUCUUAUUUUUGUCACUUGAUCUCAUUUUUCUUGGGGUUCUAAAGGAUUUAACAACGAAUGAUAAGAAUGAGAUUAUCAGCACAAAAAUAGACAAUAAUUAAAUGUCAGUCAUGUCGAUGACAGAACAAAUGCAAUUCUGUAUCUCACUACUUUUGGUGCUGGCUAGUGCAAUACUCAUUAAAU